AAGCAAUUGUUGUUAGAGAGGGUGCAACUUUAUUUCCUUAUACUUGGCAGCGCAAAGUUCCAUGCUAUGUGGCAAGUGGGCAUAGGGGCUGCACCAUUUCUGGUGCCAACGGGCUGGCACGCCAAUCACUGCCUAGAGCCUGGGUGGACUGCUGGCCCCAUAAAGCCAACACUUACAAUUUUGCUUUCAAUUUUUCGGAUGGAUUUCACAACAUAGCAGCUGAUUUCCCCUUGCUGUUCGUAGCAGUUCGCGACCACACAGCAGCUGUUCCUCAUAGCCACACAGCAAAAAUUCAGCUAUUGUUCACGGCCACAUAGCAGAAUUCAGCUGUUGUUCAUGGCCACACAUAAAAAAUUUCUCAAGGCCAUGCAGCAGCUCCACCGCACAGCACACAACAGCUGUUCCCCCUUGCUGUUUGCAGCAGUUCAUGGCCAUAUACAGCAGAAUUUUAGAGUUGUUCAUGGCCAACACAUCACCUCACGACCACAGCAGAAAUUCAGCACCUCACAACCACACGCAGCAGCCCCACCUCACGGCCACAUAGCAAAAAUUUAGCUGCUGCUAAGUGUUUUCCUUGCAUCUUGUCUUCUUUAAUUUUGAUUUUUAAUUUGGGUUUGGAAUUAAGAACAUGGCAUAAUAUGAACCCAAUCUGUGUUUCAUUUAAUUUUGCAACUCUUAAAUUGUUAGUUUUAUUUUCUGCAAUUUGUUUUUUAAUUGUCCUUAGAUUAUGCUUGUGACCGUUGCUGAAUUUUGUUUUAAGCAUUGUUGGUUUAAUCUUGUGUAUUUGUUUUUGUGUAAUUUGCUGAUUUAAUUUAUAUUUAUGGGCUGUUUUGAAACUCAAAGAGAAUGAAACCUAGCUUAGUUUGAAAGUGCAUACAAGCUGUUUGAAAAAAUGCCCCUUAGAGCAUAAGAAUCAUUCCUUGCCGUUCAUUGUUGGAAUUAGGUGGAUUAGAUGAUUAUGGUUUAGCUCAUCAAAGUAAAGAUAGCCAUGAUUCAUUCAACACAUGUCCAUAAAGUCCUCCAAUUUAUGGAAAAGGGUAAUGUUAGUGACAAGGUGCAUUGGAGCAUAAUUCUAAUUUGUUACACCAAAGGUGUUUGAUAAAAUGCCCCUUAGAGUACAAUCAUCAUAAUUUUCUUUUUAUUGUUGAGAAUAAUUGGAUUAGAUGAUGUUGAUGAUUGUGGUUUAGCUCCUCGAAGCAAUGAUAAUCAUACUUCAUUCAACACACGUUCGCAAACUCCUCCAUAAUUUUCUUUUUAUUAUUGUGGUUUAGUGCUAAGGUGCAUUGGAGCAUAAAAUCUUAAUUAGAUACAUAGUUAUUUUCCAAUUCUACAUUGAGUUCAUUAACAUGCUGCAUUUAAAUUUCUUUUAGCUCACUUAGUAUACAUUUUACCAAUUCAUACAAAAGAAGAACAAACCAUUUUUGGUUAUUCUCAAAAACCCAUUUUUAUCGUAAAUAACAUUGUAAUUAAUCGUAGUGCUUAAUUCUCCUUUAUUUUUGAUAAUAGCUAAAUUUAGAACUUAAACAAACCAUUCCCUAUGGAAAUGACUUAGAGACUCCCCUAAUACUACUUGGUGACACUCUUAUACUUGAGAGUUAUUCUCUAAGGUUUUUAGAGUAAGUCAAGUUUUUGGCGCCGUUGAUAGGGAAUGGUUAGUUUAGUUCGAAAUUUUCCUAUUAUCUGUUUUUUCAUUCCAUUCUUUAGUUUUCUUUGUUUAAAUUUGUACAGUUCACUUGCUUGUUUUCAUCAUUAGUGUUAUUAUUUUCUUGUUUUUCUUCUAUUCUUUCAAUUUAUUCUGACUUAGUUGUUUUGAAGCAUUUUAUAUUUUUGGCACUCAUGUUUGGUGUCGUGGGCUAGGGACGACACAAAUAGAUUGUAUCACUUGCAUCACAAUCCAAGUAGUAGUGUGUCAAGUGUUGAAUUGGAUUCUAGCCUUGAUUCUGGUUUUGAGACUGAUUUAGAAAAUCCUUUUUCUGUUGACAACAUGCAUGAUUGAACAAGUUCCUAGGACACUUAAGGAUUAUCUAUAGCCCACACGAACCACAUAACCAUCUUGCAUUAUAUUGCCUGAUGAUGCAUAAAAUUUUAAUAUUAAGCAUGAAAUGAUGUUUGUGAUACAUCAGUUUCAUGGGAUGGAGUCUAAAUAUCCAUAUCAACACUUAACUGAUUUUGAACUUGCUUGCACUACAUGUACUUUUCCCAUGGUAAUUUCUUCGAAGUUAAAUCAGAAAGAUGAAGCCUAGUUUAUGGAAGUCUUAAGAAAGGAUCGAGGCGCAAUUGGGUGGACACUAGCUGACAUCAAGGGUUAAAACGGCAACAGAAACUUAUUCCACGCCCAAGUAGUAGGGGUUCUCGCAGCAUUUCAAGAGCUGAGGGGCUCUUGCAGCAUUUCAAGAACUUGAGGGGCUCUCACAGUAUUUUAGGAACUUGAGGGGCACUUACAGCAUUUCAGGAACUUGAGGGGCCUUUACAGCAUUCCAGGAAAUUGGAGAUUCUCCCCUCUGCACAUGUGCCAAUUUAUUGGGAAAAUUUGCAGCUGGAAGAGAAAAUUGAGGGGAUGCAUGUGCAAUCCGUUGGGGGAAGAUUCGACUAGGAGAAGGGAAGAAAAGGGAGCACACAAUAGCAAUUUCAAUUGGACUGGAUUGCUUGUAGACUCCUUAAGCCGAGCUCCAGUACCCACUUCUUCUUCCUCCUCCAAUCUUUCAAUUUUGCUUUCAAUUUUUGGGAUGGAUUACACAACACAGCAGCUGUUCCUCACGGCCACACAGCAGAAAUUCAGCUGCUGUUCACAGCCACAUAGCAGAAAUUCGGCUGCUGACACAGCAGAAAUUUCUCACGGCCACGCAGCAGCUCCACCAUGCAGCAAACAACAACUGUUCCCAUUGCUGUUUGCAACAGUUCACAACCAUAUACAGUAGAAUUUUAGAGCUGUUCAUGGCCAACACAGCAGCACCUCACGGCCACACGCAGCAGCCCCACCACACAACAGCUGUUCCCAUUGCUGUUUGCAACAGUUCACGACCAUAUACAGUAGAAUUUUAGAGCUGUUCAUGGCCAACACAGCACCUCACGGCCACACGCAGCAGCCCCACCACACAACAGCUGUUCCCAUUGCUGUUUGCAACAGUUCACGACCAUAUACAGUAGAAUUUUAGAGCUGUUCAUGGCCAACACAGCACCUCACGGCCACACGCAGCAGCCCCACCACACAACAGCUGUUCCCAUUGCUGUUUGCAACAGUUCACGACCAUAUACAGUCGAAUUUUAGAGCUAUUCAUGGCCAACACAGCACCUCACGGCCACAGCAGAAAUUCAGCACCUAACGGCAACACGCAGCAGCCCCACCUCACGGCCACACAGUAGAAAUUUAGCCGCUGCUUAGUGUUUUCCUUGCAUCUUGUCUUCUUUAAUUUUGAUUUUUAAUUUGGGUUCGGAAUUAAGAACAUGGCUAAAUCGGAAGCCAAUUUGUGUGUCAUUUAAUUUUGCAACUCUUAAAUUGUAAGUUUAAUUUUCUGCAAUUUGUUUUUUUUAAUUGUCCUUAGAUUAUGCUUGGGGACCAUUGCUGAAUUUUGUUUUAAGCAUUGUUGGUUUAA